rnacentral:rRNA from 1 species
AUUGAACGCUGGCGGCAGGCCUAACACAUGCAAGUCGAGCGGAUGAGGGGAGCUUGCUCCCUGAUUUAGCGGCGGACGGGUGAGUAAUGCCUAGGAAUCUGCCUGGUAGUGGGGGACAACGUUUCGAAAGGAACGCUAAUACCGCAUACGUCCUACGGGAGAAAGCAGGGGACCUUCGGGCCUUGCGCUAUCAGAUGAGCCUAGGUCGGAUUAGCUAGUAGGUGAGGUAAUGGCUAACCUAGGCGACGAUCCGUAACUGGUCUGAGAGGAUGAUCAGUCACACUGGAACUGAGACACGGUCCAGACUCCUACGGGAGGCAGCAGUGGGGAAUAUUGGACAAUGGGCGAAAGCCUGAUCCAGCCAUGCCGCGUGUGUGAAGAAGGUCUUCGGAUUGUAAAGCACUUUAAGUUGGGAGGAAGGGCAGUAAGUUAAUACCUUGCUGUUUUGACGUUACCAACAGAAUAAGCACCGGCUAACUUCGUGCCAGCAGCCGCCGUAACAC